rnacentral:rRNA from 1 species
UACAGAGGUCUCAAGCGUUGUUUCGGAUUCAUUGGGCGUAAAGGGUGUGUAGGUGGCGCCGUAAGUCGGGUGUGAAAUUUCGGAGCUUAACUCCGAAACUGCAUUCGAUACUGCGGUGCUUGAGGACUGGAGAGGAGACUGGAAUUCAUGGUGUAGCAGUGAAAUGCGUAGAGAUCAUGAGGAAGACCAGUGGCGAAGGCGGGUCUCUGGACAGUUCCUGACACU